AGCAGCCGCGGUAAUUCCAGCUCCAAUAGCGUAUAUUAAAGUUGUUGCAGUUAAAAAGUUCGUAGUUGAAUUUCGGGGUUAGUAGGUUGGUCAUGCCACUGGUAUGUACUGGUCUCACUGAUUCCUCCUUCCUGAUGAGACGUAAUGCCAUUAAUUUGGUGUUGCGAGGAAUCUGGACUGUUACUUUGAAAAAAUUAGAGUGUUUAAAGCAGGCUAACGCUUGAAUACAUUAGCAUGGAAUAAUGAAAUAGGACGUUCGAUCUUAUUUUGUUGGUUUCUAGGAUUGACGUAAUGAUUAAUAGGGAUAGUUGGGGGUCAUUAGUAUUCAAUUGUCAGAGGUGAAAUUCUUGGAUUUAUUGAAGACUAACUAACUGCGAAAGCAUUUGCCAAGGAUAUUUUCAUUAAUCAAGAACGAAAGUUAGGGGAUCGAAGACGAUCAGAUACCGUCGUAGUCUUAACCAUAAACUAUGCCGACUAGGGAUCGGAUGAUGUUAAUUUUUAAUGACUCAUUCGGCGCCUU
rnacentral:rRNA from 1 species